rnacentral:rRNA from 1 species
GUGGCAGCAGCCGCGGUAAAACCAGCACCUCAAGUGGUCAGGAUGAUUAUUGGGCCUAAAGCAUCCGUAGCCUGUUCUGUAAGUUUUCGGUUAAAUCUGUACGCUCAACGUACAGGCUGCCGGGAAUACUGCAGAACUAGGGAGUGGGAGAGGUAGACGGUACUCGGGAGGAAGUGGUAAAAUGCUUUGAUCUCUCGAUGACCACCUGUGGCGAAGGCGGUCUACCAGAACACGUCCGACGGUGAGGGAUGAAAGCUGGGGGAGCAAACCGGAUUAGAUACCCGGGUAGUCCCAGCUGUAAACUAUGCAAACUCAGUGAUGCAUUGGCUUGUGGCCAAUGCAGUGUUGCAGGGAAGCCGUUAAGUUUGCCGCCUGGGAAGUACGUACGCAAGUAUGAAACUUAAAGGAAUUGGCGGGGGAGCACCACAAGGGGUGAAGCCUGCGGUUCAAUUGGAGUCAACGCCAGAAAUCUUACCCGGAGAGACAGCAGAAUGAAGGUCAAGCUGAAGACUUUACCAGACAAGCUGAGAGGUGGUGCAUGGCCGUCGCCAGCUCGUGCCGUGAGAUGUCCUGUUAAGUCAGGUAACGAGCGAGAUCCCUGCCUCUAGUUGCCAUCAUUACUCUCAGGAGUAGUGGGGCGAAUUAGCGGGACCGCCGCAGUUAAUGCGGAGGAAGGAAGGGGCCACGGCAGGUCAGUAUGCCCCGAAACUCUGGGGCCACACGCGGGCUGCAAUGGUAAUGACAAUAGGUUCCAAAUCCGAAAGGAGGAGGUAAUCCCUAAACAUUACCACAGUUAUGACUGAGGGCUGCAACUCGCCCUCACGAAUAUGGAAUCCCUAGUAACUGCGUGUCAUUAUCGCGCGGUGAAUACGUCCCUGCUCCUUGCACACACCGCCCGUC